GUGCUCAUUUAGCAUCACCAUGCAUACUAAAAGCAGAGCGACAGAGAUGAGCAUAACUCCUGCACAAAGAUGACAUACAAAUUCGUGAACUGCUCCAUAUUCUU